GUUUUUUAAUUGAAUUUCGAUAAAUAGUCUUACAUUUGGAACUGGGAAUACAUGUGUACAAUGUGCACAGUGAAUAUUUGUUGUAAAUAGUUUACAAAUCCAAGUAAUUGUAACUUUAGAAGUUGUUGAAUCUGACUUACAACGGUGUAAAGUUAUCAGCGGGUUUCCUGGAAGAACUACAUUUCCCAUAAUGCAUGUUUUCCCGGGAGAUGACGUGGGGGAACGACCAUGAGUUUGAACUGUCUCGUGGAGUCUGAAACGUUCUUUAUGUCUAUGGUCCGAAAGCAUAACGUUAACUUAUCCCUGCUUCCCGGUUUCUGCCGGUUGUUGUUUUCACUGUUCGCUGGUAAUGCAUAUAUUGGACUUCAAAGAGUGCUACGGAGAGUCAGCGUUUCACCAUCACACAGUUGGUGUCUGAUAGGAACAACGUGAUGUAAAUAUGAGACGGGAUCUCGUCCUUCGUGCACUUCCUUGGUACCUGCGUGAAGAUGCCUCCAAGUUCUUCAGGACCUGUAAUUCAGGAGAUGGUCCAGACCUCACUGACACUCCAGUGGCUCUCCUGACAGUCGUAACGGAUAACACUACUGAUGCGGCCCUCUUCAGCCCUGAGAGCAUCUGUAUUGUCGUGGAGGAUGAAAUACUUGCGAGUGGUUCCACAAAUCUGGCUGACUCAUUUCUCCUGCUCUUUGGGUACGUCUAUGCACUAGACCUACAGUACCCAAAGAAUCUCGAGCAUUUACAUUUAUACAAAAAGUUGUAAUGUGUCUUGAGGACAACAUUAUAACUACUACUGACGCUGAAGAAUGAUUUGUUCAAUGAGUGAAUCACUCAGAAUGGACUAUUUCUUGAGCUGAGUAUUGAGGACGUUUGUUGUUUUUGCCUCA